rnacentral:ncRNA from 2 species
AAUUACCACUAGGGGUGCUUUAAGUAGCUGAGAGAGGAUUUGCCUUAACCCUUAAUGACCUGAUCUAGUUAAAACUAGCGGAGGGAAGUGGGCAUCGAUCAAU